rfam:Myotis lucifugus cont2.18010, whole genome shotgun sequence.
UCCCUGGAGUUGGGGGUUUCUGUAGGCACUUUAUUGCUCCACUUUCAAAAGCUUGGGCUGGGCCCAACUCUGAGGCUUCCUCAUCCUGUUUCUAUGACCAAGUUACAUCUAUGGCUUGAACCUCUACAAUGAAAAAACAAAUCCAU